rnacentral:misc_RNA from 1 species
UUUCCGUAGGUGAACCUGCGGAAGGAUCAUUAUUGUAUAACCGAGGUGCGAGGGCUGUCGCUGACCCGAAAGGUCGUGCACGCCCGAGUGCCCUCACACACAUCCAUCUCACCCCUAUAUGCACCACCGCGUGGGUCCCCCUUUGGCUUGUUCGGAGGGGGGCUUACGUUUUCACACAAACUUUGUAUGCAGUGUAGAAUGUAUUUUUUGUUUUUGCGAUCACGCAAUCAAUACAACUUUCAACAACGGAUCUCUUGGCUCUCGCAUCGAUGGAGAACGCAGC